CGAAGGGGGCUAGCGUUGCUCGGAAUUACUGGGCGUAAAGGGCGCGUAGGCGGCACUGUUAGUCAGGCGUGAAAGUCCUGGGCUCAACCUGGGAACUGCGCUUGAUACGGCAGAGCUAGAGGAUGGAAGAGGCUCGCGGAAUUCCCAGUGUAGAGGUGAAAUUCGUAGAUAUUGGGAAGAACACCGGUGGCGAAGGCGGCGAGCUGGUCCAUUACUGACGCUGAGGCGCGACAGCGUGGGGAGCAAACAGG
rnacentral:rRNA from 1 species